rnacentral:rRNA from 1 species
AAACCCGGAUGAGCCGAAAGGUAAAAGAUUAAUCGCCUAGAGAGGGGCUUGCGUCUGAUUAGCUAGUUGGUGAGGUAAGAGCCCACCAAGGCGACGAUCAGUAGCUGGUCUGAGAGGAUGAUCAGCCACACUGGGACUGAGACACGGCCCAGACUCCUACGGGAGGCAGCAGUGGGGAAUUUUCCGCAAUGGGCGAAAGCCUGACGGAGCAAGACCGCGUGGGGGAGGAAGGUUCUUGGAUUGUCAACCCCUUUUCUCAGGGAAGAACACAAUGAUGGUACCUGAGGAAAAAGCAUCGGCUAACUCCGUGCCAGCAGCCGCGGUAAUACGGGGGAUGCAAGCGUUAUCCGGAAUGAUUGGGCGUAAAGAGUCCGUAGGUAGUCAUCCAAGUCUGCUGUUAAAGAGCGAGGCUUAACCUCGUAAAGGCAGUGGAAACUGGAAGACUAGAGUGUAGUAGGGGCAGAGGGAAUUCCUGGUGUAGCGGUGAAAUGCGUAGAGAUCAGGAAGAACACCGGUGGCGAAGGCGCUCUGCUGGGCUAUAACUGACACUGAGGGACGAAAGCUAGGGGAGCGAAUGGGAUUAGAUACCCCAGUAGUC